CCUACGGGAGGCAGCAGUAGGGGAUCUUGCACAAUGGAGGAAACUCUGAUGCAGCGACGCCGCGUGAGUGAAGACGGUCUUCGGAUUGUAAACCUCUGUCUUUGGAGAAGAAAAUGACGGUGACUAAAGAGUAACGUCCGGCCAAUAACGAGCCAGAAGCCGCGGUAAUACGAAGGGAGCGAGCGUGGUCCGGAUUUACGGGGGGAAAAGGGAGCGGAGGCGGGCGGUAAAGCUGAAUGUUAAGUCUACCGGUUUAACUGGGAGCUGCGUUCAAAACUUCGUGUCUUGAGUGCAGUAGAGGCAGGUGGAACUCCUAGUGUAGCGGUGAAAUGCGUAGAUAUUAGGAAGAACACCAGUGGCGAAGGCGGCCUUCUGGGCUUUAACUGACGCUGAGGUUCGAAAGCGUGGGGAGCAAACAGGAUUAGAUACCCGAGUAGUC
rnacentral:rRNA from 1 species